GUAAGGGGGGGGGGGCAGCUUUAAUGGAAGGGGGGGGGACGACAAAUAGGAACCCCUUCUUAAUUGGGGAGGGGGCAACAGGACCCCCCCACCUCCCUGUGAAUAGGGGAGGAUCCCCCACGUAUGGGGUGGGGGCACUGGGACCCCCCCUCUUCCCCCCCAUAAUAAAGGAGACCCUCAAUUUGGGGUCCCCCUGGAUUCUAUGGGGCACUGUUUUGGAGUUCCCCCAAUUCCUUUGGAGCUCUAUUGUGGGGGACCCCAAAUCCUAUGGAAUGUCAUUGUGGGGUCCCCCCCAAAUCCUACGGGGCAUUGUGGUGGGGGUCCCCCCAGAUCCUAUGGGGCUGUAUGGUGGGGUCCCCCAAAAAUCCUAUAGUGGGGGUCCCCCUAAAUUCUUAGGAACUCUUAUGGUGGAGACCCCUGUCCCAAAUCCUUUGCUGGGGGUCCCUCUAAAUCCUAUGGGGCCCUAUGGCAGGGACCCCCCUAAAUCCUUUGCUGGGGGUUCCCCAAAACCCUAUGGGGCUCUAUGGUGGGGACUUUAUGGUUUGGGAAUUGUGGGGUGAGCGGGGAAGGAUUGUGGGUUCAGCCCCAUGGAGCUUCGGGGGAGAAAUGGUCCUAUGGGGUCAUACUGGGACCCACAUGGUGACCUCGAUUGCCUUUGUGUGUCCUAUGGGGUCAUUCCUGAAUCCCAAAGAUGCAGCCAAGGCCCUCUAUGUUUUAUGGGGUCAUUCCUGAACCCCAAAGAUGCAGCCAAGGCCCUUUGUGUCCUAUAGGGUCAUAUGGGAACCCAAGUGGUGACCCCAAUUGCCUUUGUGUCUUAUGGGCUCGUAUGGGAACCCAACUGGGGACGCAGAUUGCCUUUGUGUCCUAUGGGGUCAUUCCUGAACCCCAAAGACGCAGCCAAGGCCCUUUGUGUCCUUAUGGGGUCAUAUGGGAACCCAAGUGGUGACCCCAAUUGCCUUUGUGUCUUAUGGGGUCGUAUGGGAACCCAACUGGUGACGCGGAUUGCCUUUGUGUCCUAUGGGGUCAUUCGUGAACCCCAAAGAUGCAGCCAAGGCCCUCUAUGUUUUAUGGGGUCAUUCCUGAACCCCAAAGACGCAGCCAAGGCCCUCUAUGUUUUAUGGGGCCAUUCCUGAUCCCCAAAGAUGCAGCCAAGGCCCUCUAUGUUUUAUGGGGUCAUUCCUGAUCCCCAAAGAUGCAGCCAAGGCCCUCUAUGUUUUAUGGGGUCAUUCGUGAACCCCAAAGACGCAGCCAAGGCCCUCUAUGUUUUAUGGGGUCAUUCCUGAACCCCAAAGACGCAGCCAAGGCCCUCUAUGUUUUAUGGGGUCAUUCCUGAACCCCAAAGACGCAGCCAAGGCCCUCUAUGUUUUAUGGGACCAUUGGGGAGAAGGGAAAAGUGGGAAAGCAAAGGGGGAAAAUGGGCUGUUGGAAAAGGGUGGAGGAGACGGAGAGGUUGGAGACGAAGUUGGGCCGAAAGGGCGGCGUUGGUGAGGAGAAAUAAUGG
ensembl:lncRNA